UUUUCCUUGUUUUAGGGUGGAUCAUGGGAGAAGGAACAUCCAGACGUCUUCCCAGGAUCCUUGGUGCUGGGCAGCUGCAGAAAACAAUGGAAGCAUGAGGAAAAGACCAAAGACACCUAAUUGACAUGUAAGGACUUGUGUCUGCUUCAAGGAAAAUGAACCCAGAUGUACUAACCGUGAAGAUCCCGGCCUUUCUCCUUCUGAAUUACUGCUUUGCAUUGGGUUAACACCUGCAGUGCCCCAUUAUGCCCAUAUGCCAUGACUUCCAGGAGACACUAAAAAGAAUCAUAGAUUGAGUUUAGACUAAAUGCAAGUGAGUGGGCCUCCUACCCUCCUGGGUUUUUUCAUAUAAAAUAAAAUCGUAAAGGAUUCUAAAACGAU